CUAACACACUAAGGAAGCAUCGCUAUUUGACCAGUAAUAAGCAAGAAUAUGUGCACUGUGUAUUUUAAAGCUUGGCCAAUGUGGUCUCCAGCUUCUUGCUGUACAGAAAUAGGACUGUGACAUGAAAUAAACAAUCAUGCAGAAACUCAGAAGACUGAAAAUGUGACCAAGUUAUUGUGACAAGACCCACUGCUUACGUAUAACCUAUUGCUAAUGUAAAGUCUGCAGAGAGGAGACUGUGACACUGUGUUAUGGAAUGUGACUGUGUUAUAUCUCUGUGACAGGAUGUACAGACGGACCUCCAACAUCGUCGGUCUUAGUUAUCCACAAGAUGUCAUCACUGUUCUUGGAGAUCUUUGCCAUCAUUUUUGCAGCUGCCAUUCAUGACUACGAGCACACAGGGACCACCAAUAACUUCCAUAUUCAGACAAGGUAAUUCCCACGUAGCAUCGUUUGUAGCAUUUCAAUCCCUGCAGUCUCUGAGG
ensembl:lncRNA